UGAAACCAUGGUGAGGUUGCAACCUUUCAGGGCUUUGGCAGAAAUCCUGGUUGGGGGAUUGGUCUGGAUAUAUUGAACACCAUGGGAGUCUUGCCUGUGACCUCAGGCAGUAAGUCUCAGUUCAGCUCUAAUAACUGUAUUUAGGACACAGUGUUAAAUGCUUUCCUCCCAGAGAGGAACCUGUGGGCACCAAGAGUGCUUUAAAACCCUGUAUUAAAGGCUGGGUGGAAAAUCUGUUGGAUUCUCAAUGCUACUAUUGGUUCCUGGUCUGCAAAUGUGACUUAUGGUCUCACUCUUGCAAGGCUGGUCCACAUAGAGGAUGACAACCUACUAUUGCUACCACUUACCCAUAAACUCCAGUGGCAGAGGUAUUUGUGUUGUGAAUCAAAGUCUGAACCCUACUAAUGAUGGAAGCUGGUGAUCAGUAUAAGGACACAUGAUAGAAUUUGUUUGGUUUUCUUUUUCAAGGUUUUUUAAUUAAGACAGUG